UACAGUGCAAUAUGAACACAUGCAAGAAGCUAUAAUUAGUUUUCUCUCUCCUAGAUCCUCUUAAAAUAGACAAUAAAAUUGUCUCUAAGGUACUGAUCUGAAAACCUAAGAAGAAAAGUUUUGGAACCUAAAAUCUUAAACUGUGAAGUAACCUUAAUUAAAGCUAACAUGCAUAUUCAAACAAACAUGAACUCAAAAGACAGCAACUUUCUAGCUAGGGUUAAUUAGAAUGAAGAGUACGUACUUCACUUAAUUUGAAGUGAUUAUAUGCUUGCUAGGAAGGGGUCUGACUCCGAAGGAUCAGCCGACUUUUCUGGUGACUUUAAAGGAGCUUGUUCCUGCAAGGAUCGCGUUAAC
rnacentral:lncRNA from 1 species